rnacentral:rRNA from 1 species
UACGUAGGCAGCGAGCGUUGUUCGGAAUUACUGGGCGUAAAGAGUGUGUAGGCGGUGCUCUAAGUUCGGUGUGAAAUCUCCUGGCUUAACUGGGAGGGUGCGCCGGAAACUGGAGUGCUUGAGCGUGGGAGAGGAAAGCGGAAUUCCUGGUGUAGCGGUGAAAUGCGUAGAUAUCAGGAGGAACACCGGCGGUGUAGACGGCUUUCUGGACCGUAGCUGACGCUGAGACACGAAAGCGUGGGUAGCAAACAGG